rnacentral:rRNA from 1 species
GACGAACGCUGGCGGCAUGCUUUACACAUGCAAGUCGAACGGAAAGGCCUGCUUUCCCUUGUGGCUUGCGGGUAAUCGCGUGGCGAACUGCUGAGUAACACGUGAGUAAUCUGCCCCCCACUUGCGUAUACGCCUUGGAAACUGGGUCUAAUUCCCGAUACGCCUGAAGGGUGGUGCCGCUGCUGGAAAACGAUUUUCUAGUGUUAGGGCAUGAGCUCGCGGCCAAUAGGCUCGGUGGUGGGGGAAUGGCCUACCAAGGCGGCGACGGGUAGCCGGCCUGAGAGGGUGGACGGCCACAUUGGGAAUGAGAUACGGCCCAGACUCCUACGGGAGGCAGAAGGGGGGAAUAUUGCACAAUGGGCGGAAGCCUGAUGCAGCGACGCCGCGUGGGGGAUGACGGCCUUCGGGUUGUAAACUCCUGUCGACCGCGAGGAAGCCACCUGGUUGGAAGGGUGGUGACGGUAGUGGUAGAAGAAGCACCGGCUAACUACGUG